rnacentral:rRNA from 1 species
UGCGUAGGAGGUCGUGUGUGUCGGAUGUGAAAUCUUGCUGUUCAUCGGCAAAAACUGCAUUCGAAACUACACGGCUAGAGUACAGGAGAGGAGAGCAGAAUUCACGGUGUAGCGGUGAAAUGCGUUGAUAUCGUGAGGAAUGCCGGUGGCGAAGGCGGCUCUCUGGACUGUUACUGACUCUGAGGCACGAAAGCUAGGGGAGCAAACA